GUUCUGGCUUCAACAACACAUAUACUAAAAUUGGAACCAUACAGAGAAGAUUAGCAUGGCUCCUGGGCAAGGAUGACAUGCAAAUUCAUGAAGUGUUCCAUAUUUUU
rnacentral:snRNA from 1 species